rnacentral:rRNA from 1 species
CGGCGAACGGGUGAGUAAUGCGUGACCAACCUGCCCCAUGCUCCAGAAUAGCUCUUGGAAACGGGUGGUAAUGCUGGAUGCUCCAACUUGACGCAUGUCUUGUUGGGAAAGUGUUUAGUGGCAUGGGAUGGGGUCGCGUCCUAUCAGCUUGUAGGCGGGGUAACGGCCCACCUAGGCUUCGACGGGUAGCCGGCCUGAGAGGGCGGACGGCCACAUUGGGACUGAGAUACGGCCCAGACUCCUACGGGAGGCAGCAGGU